GGGUGACUGCGUACCUUUUGUAUAAUGGGUCAGCGACUUAUAUUCUGUAGCAAGGUUAACCGUAUAGGGGAGCCGCAGGGAAACCGAGUCUUAACUGGGCGUUAAGUUGCAGGGUAUAGACCCGAAACCCGGUGAUCUAGCCAUGGGCAGGUUGAAGGUUGGGUAACACUAACUGGAGGACCGAACCGACUAAUGUUGAAAAAUUAGCGGAUGACUUGUGGCUGGGGGUGAAAGGCCAAUCAAACCGGGAGAUAGCUGGUUCUCCCCGAAAGCUAUUUAGGUAGCGCCUCGUGAACUCAUCUUCGGGGGUAGAGCACUGUUUCGGCUAGGGGGUCAUCCCGACUUACCAACCCGAUGCAAACUACGAAUACCGAAGAAUGUUAUCACGGGAGACACACGGCGGGUGCUAACGUCCGUCGUGAAGAGGGAAACAACCCAGACCGCCAGCUAAGGUCCCAAAGUCAUGGUUAAGUGGGAAACGAUGUGGGAAGGCCCAGACAGCCAGGAUGUUGGCUUAGAAGCAGCCAUCAUUUAAAGAAAGCGUAAUAGCUCACUGGUCGAGUCGGCCUGCGCGGAAGAUGUAACGGGGCUAAACCAUGCACCGAAGCUGCGGCAGCGACACUAUGUGUUGUUGGGUAGGGGAGCGUUCUGUAAGCCGUUGAAGGUGGCCUGUGAGGGUUGCUGGAGGUAUCAGAAGUGCGAAUGCUGACAUAAGUAACGAUAAUGCGGGUGAAAAACCCGCACGCCGGAAGACCAAGGGUUCCUGUCCAACGUUAAUCGGGGCAGGGUGAGUCGACCCCUAAGGCGAGGCCGAAAGGCGUAGUCGAUGGGAAACAGGUUAAUAUUCCUGUACUUGGUGUUACUGCGAAGGGGGGACGGAGAAGGCUAUGUUGGCCGGGCGACGGUUGUCCCGGUUUAAGCAUGUAGGCGGAUGUUCCAGGUAAAUCCGGAGCGUCACUAACGCUGAGGUGUGAUGACGAGGCACUACGGUGCUGAAGUGACAAAUGCCCUGCUUCCAGGAAAAGCCUCUAAGCAUCAGGUAACAUCAAAUCGUACCCCAAACCGACACAGGUGGUCAGGUAGAGAAUACCAAGGCGCUUGAGAGAACUCGGGUGAAGGAACUAGGCAAAAUGGUGCCGUAACUUCGGGAGAAGGCACGCUGAUGGUAGGUGAAGUGACUUGCUCAUGGAGCUGAAAUCAGUCGAAGAUACCAGCUGGCUGCAACUGUUUAUUAAAAACACAGCACUGUGCAAACACGAAAGUGGACGUAUACGGUGUGACGCCUGCCCGGUGCCGGAAGGUUAAUUGAUGGGGUUAUCCUCGCGGAGAAGCUCUUGAUCGAAGCCCCGGUAAACGGCGGCCGUAACUAUAACGGUCCUAAGGUAGCGAAAUUCCUUGUCGGGUAAGUUCCGACCUGCACGAAUGGCGUAAUGAUGGCCAGGCUGUCUCCACCCGAGACUCAGUGAAAUUGAACUCGCUGUGAAGAUGCAGUGUACCCGCGGCAAGACGGAAAGACCCCGUGAACCUUUACUAUAGCUUGACACUGAACACUGGUCCUUGAUGUGUAGGAUAGGUGGGAGGCUUUGAAGUGUGGACGCCAGUCUGCAUGGAGCCAUCCUUGAAAUACCACCCUUUAAUGGCUGGUGUUCUAACGUGGGCCCGUGAUCCGGGUUGCGGACAGUGUCUGGUGGGUAGUUUGACUGGGGCGGUCUCCUCCUAAAGAGUAACGGAGGAGCACGAAGGUCAGCUAAUCCUGGUCGGACAUCAGGAGGUUAGUGCAAUGGCAUAAGCUGGCUUGACUGCGAGCGUGACGGCGCGAGCAGGUGCGAAAGCAGGUCAUAGUGAUCCGGUGGUUCUGAAUGGAAGGGCCAUCGCUCAACGGAUAAAAGGUACUCCGGGGAUAACAGGCUGAUACCGCCCAAGAGUUCAUAUCGACGGCGGUGUUUGGCACCUCGAUGUCGGCUCAUCACAUCCUGGGGCUGAAGUAGGUCCCAAGGGUAUGGCUGUUCGCCAUUUAAAGUGGUACGCGAGCUGGGUUUAGAACGUCGUGAGACAGUUCGGUCCCUAUCUGCCGUGGGCGCUGGAGAAUUGAGGGGGGCUGCUCCUAGUACGAGAGGACCGGAGUGGACGCAUCACUGGUGUUCGGGUUGUCAUGCCAAUGGCAUUGCCCGGUAGCUAAAUGCGGAAGAGAUAAGUGCUGAAAGCAUCUAAGCACGAAACUUGCCCCGAGAUGAGUUCUCCCUGACUCCUUGAGAGUCCUGAAGGAACGUUGAAGACGACGACGUUGAUAGGCCGGGUGUGUAAGCGCAGCGAUGCGUUGAGCUAACCGGUACUAAUGAACCGUGAGGCUUAACCUUACAACGCCGAAG
rnacentral:rRNA from 1 species